GACGUAGGGCGCGAGCGUUGUCCGGAUUUAUUGGGCGUAAAGAGCUCGUAGGCGGCUUGUCGCGUCGACUGUGAAAUCCCGCGGCUCAACUGCGGGUCUGCAGUCGAUACGGGCAGGCUAGAGUUCGGUAGGGGAGACUGGAAUUCCUGGUGUAGCGGUGAAAUGCGUAGAUAUCUGGAGGAACACCGGUGGCGAAGGCGGCAUCCUGGACCGGCAUUGACGCUGAGGCGCGAAAGCCAGGGGAGCAAACGGG
rnacentral:rRNA from 1 species